rnacentral:rRNA from 1 species
GAUGAACGCUGGCGGCGUGCCUAAUACAUGCAAGUCGAGCGAACGGACGAGAAGCUUGCUUCUCUGAUGUUAGCGGCGGACGGGUGAGUAACACGUGGAUAACCUACCUAUAAGACUGGGAUAACUUCGGGAAACCGGAGCUAAUACCGGAUAAUAUUUUGAACCGCAUGGUUCAAAAGUGAAAGACGGUCUUGCUGUCACUUAUAGAUGGAUCCGCGCUGCAUUAGCUAGUUGGUAAGGUAACGGCUUACCAAGGCAACGAUGCAUGGCCGACCUGAGAGGGUGAUCGGCCACACUGGAACUGAGACACGGUCCAGACACCUACGGGAGGCAGCAGUAGGGAAUCUUCCGCAAUGGGCGAAAGCCUGACGGAGCAACGCCGCGUGAGUGAUGAAGGUCUUCGGAUCGUAAAACUCUGUUAUUAGGGAAGAACAUAUGUGUAAGUAACUGUGCACAUCUUGACGGUACCUAAUCAGAAAGCCACGGCUAACUACGUG